AUUUUUUUAAAACAUAUAGACAGAAAGAUCAUUAAAACAUACGAGACAGAAAAAUAGCCUUCAGAUGGACACAGUCAAAGACAGCCUGGGAUCUUUUUAAAAGGACAAAGGUACCUCAGUGGAGAGAGGUCAAUUUAUCAAAUAUUGAUGCUGGACACCCAUCAGCAUUUCAUAAGGCAGGAGUAACAAUGCACACAUGUUCAGGAGGCUGAGGUGGAGGGUGGCACGUGUUCUCCAGCCCAGGACCUGUCUGGCCCACUUAGCAAGAGCCCAUCCUAAGAGACAUAUUAUGUCUCUAGGAGACAAAAUAUGUCUCUUAGGAUAAACAUAAAUGUAAACCAGAACAAAGAAGACAACACAGGAGAAGCGUGUGUCCCAUUAGGUAGGCAAUGGCUUUUUACAGACAAACCAAAAGUGCAGCCACAGGAUUAAACAGACACAGACUCCUACUGCUCAGUUCUGCUCUCCAGAGACCCUGGCCUGGGCUGAGCAAUAGGCACAUAUGCAAUGAACAUACAAAGGGUUUUUCUAAAGACUGGAUAAACGAGUUAAAAAAUAAAAACAGUCUGGGGUGAGAAUGGAUUAGAUACCUCACUCUCAGAAGGUACAUACAUGACAGAAAAGAUGAUCACAUGUCACUAGAGAGUUACGAACUAAAUAAUAAAAACACUGUCCCGUACUUAUCAUGUUCUGAUGUUAGAAUGGGCAGAAUCUAAACCACUUGUAAAUGGUAAACUCGGCAAGGAUGUGGUCAACAGGCACCCUCAUGCUGAUGUGAUGCCAAAUGAUGUGGCCAUUUUGAGAGCAAGUUGAUGGUUUUUAGUAGAGGUUGGCUCAAGAGUAUUUACUCAAAGGAGCUAAAAAUGUGCAUAUACAAAAGGACUAUUCUCGAGCGUCUCUAGUAUUCAUAAUUGUCAAAACUUAGAAACAAUCAAAAUAUCUUUCCAUAGGUGAACAGAUAAACCUCUAUACAGUACUACUCAGCUAUUGUUAAAAAAAGAAGAAGACAUGUUUUUAAAAGAAAAUAGAAAGCAUAGCAAGACAGAUAGACAGAUACACAGAUAGACAGACAGAUAAAAAUAAGAGGGGUGGGGCUGGGGAUGCAGCUUAGCUGGGAGAAUGCUGGACAUCAUGUGUGAAUCCAGUCCUUAGGGGAAAGGGAGAGGGAGAAGAAUUAUCAGUCAUUCUUCUUGGUGAACACAGAUGAUAAAAAAUUCUCAGUAAAGUCUUUCAAACCAAAUUCUGCCUGGUGGCGUAGAGUGGAGUCCAGUGGUGCAUAUGUGAGCAGGGAGAGGUGAAGAACCAGGUGGUAGUAGCGGAGUGUGCUAUGCGCGUGUGUUACUGCUAGUUAGGACAGGGUUUGCCUUGUUUUUGUUUUAGUCCUCAAAGUUUCAGAAAGUCCUCAAGAGGCCACAAAUCAUCCGAUAUGUGUGAUAUAUACACUGGACAGCAUUGUGCCUGUUCAAAGAACUUGAGCUGAGAUUAUAGUAUGCAUGUAUGUAUGUAUUGGCAGAGCCUCAUUUUAUAGCUCUGGCUGGCCUGGAAUUUGUUACGUAGACCAGACUGGCUGGUAAGUCACAGAGAUCCCUGGCCUCUGCUUCCUGAGUCCUGAGAUUAAAGACUUGAGCCAUC
rnacentral:lncRNA from 1 species